rnacentral:rRNA from 1 species
AGAGGUGGCGAGCGUUGUUCGGAUUUAUUGGGCGUAAAGCGAACGCAGGUGGUUUGGUAAGUCAGGGGUGAAAGUCCACAGCUUAACUGUGGCACUGCCUUUGAUACUGCCUUUCUUGAGUGCAUGAGGGGGAAGCGGAAUUCCGAGUGUAGAGGUGAAAUUCGUAGAUAUUCGGAGGAACACCGGUGGCGAAGGCGGCUUCCUGGCAUGUAACUGACACUCAUGUUCGAAAGCGUGGGUAGCAAACAGGAUUAGAUACCCUGGUAGUCCACGCCCUAAACGAUGGGCACUAGGUGUGGGAGGUAUCGACCCCUUCCGUGCCGCAGCUAACGCAUUAAGUGCCCCGCCUGGGGAGUACGGCCGCAAGGUUG